GCAGAAAUAUGUCCACUGACCGACAAACGUGUCACUCUCUUUAGACCGUCUAAUUUCGAUGCGACGGAUGAGAAGGAGACGUCGCUACAUUCGCCCGAGCCUGCAAGAAAUUUGUAAUAUUUUCUUUUGAUCUUUUUUGGGUGGUGUCC
ensembl:ncRNA F20B10.8 ncRNA